AUGGCGAUACCACGUUGAAAAAAAAACACCGGUUCUCGUCCAAUUAUCGAAAUUAAGCAAAGUCGGACCUGGUCAGUAUUUGGGAGGGUGACCACUUGGUAACACCAGAUGCUGUAGGCU